UACGUAGGGUCCGAGCGUUGUCCGGAAUUAUUGGGCGUAAAGGGCUCGUAGGCGGUUUGUCGCGUCGGGCGUGAAAAUCCAGGGCUGAACUCUGGACUGGCUUUCGAUACGGGCAGACUAGAGGUAUGCAGGGGAGAACGGAAUUCCUGGUGUAGCGGUGAAAUGCGCAGAUAUCAGGAGGAACACCGGUGGCGAAGGCGGUUCUCUGGGCAUUACCUGACGCUGAGGAGCGAAAGUGUGGGGAGCGAACAGG
rnacentral:rRNA from 1 species